rnacentral:rRNA from 1 species
GAUGAACGCUAGCUACAGGCUUAACACAUGCAAGUCGAGGGGAAACGACAUCGAAAGCUUGCUUUUGAUGGGUGUCGACCGGCGCACGGGUGAGUAACGCGUAUCCAACCUGCCCACCACUUGGGGAUAACCUUGCGAAAGUAAGACUAAUACCCGAUGAUAUCCCUAGAAGACAUCUGAAAGGGAUUAAAGAUUUAUCGGUGAUGGAUGGGGAUGCGUCUGAUUAGCUUGUUGGCGGGGUAACGGCCCACCAAGGCAACGAUCAGUAGGGGUUCUGAGAGGAAGGUCCCCCACAUUGGAACUGAGACACGGUCCAAACUCCUACGGGAGGCAGCAGUGAGGAAUAUUGGUCAAUGGGCGAGAGCCUGAACCAGCCAAGUAGCGUGCAGGACGACGGCCCUAUGGGUUGUAAACUGCUUUUAUAAGGGAUAAAGUGAGUCUCGUGAGACUUUUUGCAUGUACCUUAUGAAUAAGGACCGGCUAAUUCCGUG